GACGAACCGUGCGAACGUUGUUCUGAAUCCCUGGGCUUAAAGGGCGCGUAGGCGGGUGAUCAAGUCAGGGGUGAAAUCCUUCCGCUCAACGGGAGAACAGCUUCUGAUACUGGUCAUCUUGAGGGGGGUAGGGGCAUGUGGAACUUCCGGUGGAGCGGUGAAAUGCGUAGAUAUCGGAAGGAACGCCGGUGGCGAAAGCGACGUGCUGGACCCUUUCUGACGCUGAGGCGCGAAAGCCAGGGGAGCAAACGGG
rnacentral:rRNA from 1 species